GAGCUGAUGUUCCAGUUUGAGGGUGGUGCUGCUGGCGACCCAGGCGGGAGCUGAUGUUCUAGUUUUAGGGCCCUGCAGCUGGAGACCCGGGGAGGAGCUGACGUUCCCAUUCGAGGGCUGUGCAGGUGGAGACCUGGGGAGGAGCUGAUGUUGUUCUAAUUUGAGUGUGGUGCAGCUGGAGAUCCAGGGAUGAGAUGGCCCUGCAGUUCAAAUAUGAGGGUCCCGGAGCUGGACUCUACGUGAGGAACCAAUGCUGCCUCUGAUGUCUUAGGUUGUGGAGCUGGAAACUCGUGGAGGAGCUGGUAUUGGUGUUUCUAGUUGAGGGUUGUGGUAUUUCCAGGGUUUCACAAAGGCCAGAUUUUAUUUCAGUUACUGAGAAGAGAAAGAAAAUGUCUUCUGAAAGAGGUGAACUCAGUCAUUACCAAUAGAAAAAGUAUCCACUGUAUUUAUCUCUUAUACAAACAGAAAAAUAUAACAUUUUCCCCCU
rnacentral:lncRNA from 10 species